AUGGAGAAGCUGCCAUUGCAGCUGUGGACCCUGGAGGGCGCGAAGGACGCGCUGGGCGACAAGGUGAUCAUCGACCGCCUCCACAGCCGCACCUUCGAGCGCGCGGACACGAAGCUCUUCACCGUCUGGGUGUGGGUGUGGCAACUCCACCACAUCCCCACCAAGCGGACGUUGUGGAAGCACGCGCGGGGAGCCGACAGGGUGGAGGAGAUGCUCGGCUUCUCACUGCCGAGCAGAGCGGUCGCACCACCCCCCAACCUGCUUCGCUGGGACGUCCUGGUGCACAUCGAUCGCGUUGAAGACUGGACGCCGCUGUCCCCCCGCUCCUCGUACUCCGGUCAGAGGGGCCUCCCCUCCUCCUCCGACGACGAUCGACCGUACCCGCGCUACCCACACGCGGGUGGCUGGGUGUCAGGCGUGGAGGAUGGCAGGCCAUCGCAGGACCAGGGGCAGCGCCUGCGCCCUCCCGCUCAGAUGGCGUCCUCGGGCUGCAAGGGCAUUCCCUCGGCAGGCCACAGGCGCAGCCACGACGGCGAUGACAGCCAGGGAAGGUCCUGGAAGGACACGCUACUAGGGCGGGGCCGCAGUAAGGAGCCAGCCGCACUCCCACCCACGGAGCGCCACUGA
rnacentral:rRNA from 1 species